CCCCUGACAACCAUGCCUGCACCAGCAGCGCUAUCCAGCCUGAGAGUGGGAGUGGGAAGGCCAGCACCCCGAUCCGCAUGGAGACCGUCACCUCCAGGCCUGGGGAAAGGAGGACAGCUCUGCACCAGGAAUCUGUCACCAGCAGUCAGAAGAUGUCUGGGUCCACAGUGACCAAGGAGACCCACAAGGAGUCAGGAAAGCCCUCUUCCACGGAUGAGACUACACGGGCUGCUGUGGCUGCUUGGGUCAAGGAGAUUGACACCAAGGGGCAGUGUGUGGCUAACUCCAUGCUGCAGCGAGCCACAGCUUACCAGCACUCAGGCCACUUGGAGUCCAGGGAUAUCAACCCGGAGGAGCUGAAGGCCCUCGAAGAGGGAAACUUCUUGGCCCAGGGUGAGAUGCUGUCACCAAAAUCCUUUCUUCCUUGGCCCCUUCCCCAGGGGUUAUGAGUGGGCUCUUCCAUAGAAGAUGGACCCUGGUAGAGGAAGAGCUGAAGGGAAGCAAGGCAGCUGUGACAGACCCUGAGACCCCUGAAGACAUACUGAGAGGAGACAGAUGAGGCAGACCCCAGGAGCAGCCAAGAGCCCCAAACUGAUGCCAAAUGCUUGGAACGGAGCCAAUAAAGCCUUGUAUCCCCUCAUGCUGAGUCAAGGGGCUCUGUGGCCAGCCAGAGUUUGGGAGAGGUGAAGGGAAAGGGUUCCUCCUCCAACAGUCAUCUGAAUCUGGGCCUUGCUUUGGGCCUUUUCAUUGGGCUUGCUUUUAAGACUCCAUGAAACAGCUCCCCUGACCCAUCCAUCCCUCUUCUCCUACCCCACAUACUUCCAGUCUCAGGUGCUGGGGAGGAGAUACCUCUAGGGUCCUCCAACCCACCAAUCUGAUGUUGCCAGAGAAGGAGGAACCAGGCAGGAAUGGGGGGGCGGGAUAAGGAACAGGCUUCGACCCUGUCCUCUUGGUGCCUUUUCAAAUCCAUGGUAUCCCACUCUGUAUCUCCCUCCCUGCCCCAUCUGCUUCCAGGAACCCCUAGGGAUCCAUGUGAGAAUGUCCCUACCAUCUGCAUCCACAGAUAUUAAGCUUGUCUAUGUCACUACUGCUGCGGCUGUGACUGUAGCUACUGCUGCUGCUACCAGUGUUACUAGUAUUACUGGCAGCUUCCUCUUUUUUGAGGGCUUACUUAUUUUUAUUUAUUUAUUUAUUUAUUUUUGCAGUACCAGGGAUCGAACUCAGGACCUUGUGCUUGCGAGGCAGGUGCGGUGCCACUGCCUAAAUCCCCAGCCCCUUGAGGGCUUUUAAAAAAAAUACACCCUAAAAUUGUUUUUAAAAAAGUAUAUACCCUGCCCUGUGUUAAAUGUUAAGUCAUAGAUCUACUAUGAAGGCAUUAGGUUCUCUCCAUUUCACAAAUGAGACUACUGAGGUCAGAGACAUAAUUUGCCUAAGAUAGUAAGAGAUAUUGCUUGGACCAGAUCACAGCUUUGCCUAACUCCAAAGCCCCUGAAGUCCCCCAGUUCCUUCCCUGUGCUGCCUCCCGGUCCUCUUCCUACCAAUCCACAUGGCUCUGCCUUGAGUGACUAACCUUGACCUCUUCUCACAUGUCCUGGCAAUUCCCCUGCUUAGGAUUCUCCCUGCCUCCUUUUCCUGGGUCCCAAG
rnacentral:lncRNA from 1 species